rnacentral:rRNA from 1 species
GACGAACCGUGCGAACAUUAUUCGGAAUCACUGGGCUUAAAGGGCGCGUAGGCGGGCCUCAUAGCCAAGGGUGAAAGCCCCCGGCUCAACCGGGGAAGGGCCCUUGGUACUGGAGGCCUCGAGGGGUGCAGGGGCGUGCGGAACUUCGGGUGGAGCGGUGAAAUGCGUAGAUAUCCGAAGGAACACCGGUGGCGAAGGCGGCACGCUGGACACCUGCUGACGCUGAGGCGCGAAAGCCAGGGGAGCAAACGGG